UAUCAGGAGAAUGUAUUUGACAUUACUGUGCAAAAAAAUGAGAAAAAGUUCUAAUUUUAGAUGUGCUUAGGAGAACUCGGGAUUGUAUCUGAAGGUAAUAAAUUACUAUUUUUAUUUUCAGGGCACUAUUUUUGUAUGUGUCUUAUGGAAAUCACACUCGGAAAUGCUGACAGCAGGCUUCAGGACAGCUGAGCCUUGCUAGACACCAGGAAGCCCAUGGCCCUGGUGGCGCCUUUCAACAUGACAGAUCCACAGCCUGCCAUUGCAGGAGGAAUUUCUGAAGUCGAGAUCAUCUCCCAACAAGUUGAAGAAGAAACCAAGAGCCUUGCUCCUGUGCAGCUCGUGAAUUUUGCCUAUCGAGACUUGCCCCUGGCUGCCGUCGACCUGUCCACAGCAGGAUCACAGCUUCUGUCAAAUCUGGACGAGGAAUACCAAAGAGAAGGGUUCUUGAUGAGCUGUGAGCUUCAUCCUACGCCUUCCCCUAGGAUGGAUUUCCAGGAAGAAACCUCAUCUUGGAACAUUCACAGCCUUCCUUGGGGAGAAGGGAGCUGCCCUCCCUGUCCAGUGACACCCUCGGGCACUACAGGAGGUGGGCGCUGGCCGGCCUGUCAGCAGGCUGCCGCAGACAGGCUCCCUCUGCUGGCCAAGCGAUGGUCAAAUGCAGGGGCACUCAGACUCUCCAUCGCCAUCUUCAUCACCGCCAUCUUCACCAUCGUCAUCAUCACUGUCAUCAAGCCAUUUCAGCCAUACUGCUCAACAGGUCUAACUGGCUGAAGCCAUGCUGUGGGAAGAGAGCAGCCGUGUGGCAGGUAUUUUUGCUCAGUGCGAGUCUCAACAGUUUCCUGGUAGCCUGUGUAAUAUUGGUGGUGAUUCUCCUGACUCUGGAACUUCUAAUAGAUAUAAAGCUUCUCCAGUGUGAGUAGCAAGAGGGAUACCUAUGCAAAUACGUAUGAUGUCGAUAUUCACUGUGCAUCUAUCUGUAACCAUCAGGGGUCCCCAAUAGGCAGGCUGGGAGGUGCCCCCUGCCUGAUGCCAAAGCCAACCCAUGGCCCCCUGGUUCACGGGGUUGGCCCCUGGGGAGGGACGCAUCUGGCAGCUCCUCUUGUCACCCAGAAUCAGUAUGCCCUCUCUGCCCCAUGUGGCCUCUCCAGUUCUCUUCCCCUUCAUUCCAUGAGCAGAAACUGAUGAGAUGAAAAAAAUGUUAGGGACC
rnacentral:lncRNA from 1 species